UUUUUCGCAUUAAUCGUGUAGCAGCUGUGGCUAAGACGUUUUAUUUUCGAUAACAUUGAUGCAUUAGCUGCGUCGGUUUCUGUGUUAUAUUCUCUGACGCAAAAUCGAGUUCUUACCUACAGGUAUAUCCUUAUAUCCGUUCAAAAUGCCGUCGGAUUAUCCUUACGAGUAUGAAACACUUCGAUCGAAUGACAUGGAUCAGCAACCUAAUCAGCCAACUCAGGCCCAACUGUUGGAGGGAUUUAAUGUACUGUUCGGAAUCACCGAACUUGUCGGCAUUUUUCUCAUUAUUCUCGUGACGGUAUGGGUUACCCAUUUUAGAGGCGGUUUUGCUUGGACCUCUGAUCCGGGACAUGAAUUUAAUUGGCAUCCGCUCUUGAUGACCAUUGGACUCGUAUUUUUGUACUCAAAUGGAAUGCUCAUCUACAGGACCCAGCGCACCGUUAGAAAGCGUCGAUUGAAGCUCGUUCACGCUGGAAUCAUGAUUUUUUGCCUGUUAUGCACCAUCAUUGGUCUUAUCGCUGCUUUCGAUAGUCAUAAUCUGGCCAACCCGCCUAAGCCGAAUAUGUACACACUGCAUAGCUGGGUUGGCUUGACCAGCGUUCUUUUAUUCUGUUGUCAGUGGGUUGCUGGAAUGAUCUCGUUUCUCUAUCCCACAAUACAACCGCAUUUACGAGAAGCCUACAUGCCGCUGCACGUUUACUUCGGCACUGCCGGUUUUGUUGGUGUUAUUGCAGCCUGUCUUAUAGGACUCAAUGAGAAGGCUAUUUGGGUAUUACAAUCAUCAUACUCUGAAUUUAUUGACGAAGGGAUCCUGAUCAAUAUUAUCGGCUUGCUUUUUAUCAUUUUUGGUGGUUUGUCGGUUUAUAUGGUAUCGCAGAAUCGUUAUAAACGUUUGCCAAGACCCGAAGACGAAGUUUUAUUGGCUGAGCGAAGUAAUUAAUCAAAGUGCCCUGAAAGGUAUGGGCUGGAUUAUAUUUGCCAAAAAUAUAUGAAUUCUUACGUAUCGGUGCGAAAAGUGUAUCCGCGAUGUACUGACGAUUACUGUGAGUAGUAUUUAACGGCCCGGUUCUUUGGAUAAACGUUGAGAUAGUGUACAGAUGUAUAAGUGUACAUAUACAGAUAUUUUAUUUACUAUUAUUACAGAUAUUAUUUAAACAAUAUACAUUAUACGCACACAAAAUCACUAAUGUUUAUGUUGGGAAGAAAAGAAAUGAGUUUACUUAUCAAGGGUCGCUCUUCCUUGUGUACGCAAGUACCCGAAUCUCGUCAAGCCUAAAUCUUCAGACUUGCAAAGGAGAACUAAUCUCUAUUACGUGCGACACAUUAUCUUUAUGUACCUACGGUAUAUUGUAUUGAUGUGAUAAAAUAUUUGGAAAGAACGGAAGGAGACAGCUAUACGUGAUUAAAUGUUGCCGCUUCAGAUACACGUAGAUUUAUAUUAAUACUUGUAAUUAACUCAGUGGGACCUGGUAUUGAAAUCAUUAGCAUUGCUGUGAAUAUACAUGUACUUGAAUACCGUCACAAUUUUAUGCAAACACGCACUUACAUACUGCGUGUAAAGUAUAUCAUACGAUGUAAUAUUCUAUUUUUACUAUUUUGGUGCUACCGAA